rnacentral:lncRNA from 1 species
CUGAUGAGGCAAGUGAGGAUGGUUAUAGCAUUGUAUUGGUUAACACCGAACUCGCUUCCAUAGCCCAGGGGUGUAGAGAUCAUUGCAAAUGCGAUCUUCUGGUAUGUGGAGGCACUGUUUUCCCAAGGAGAGUCCUGCCUCAGUGGUACCUAGUCUUUCAUCAAAUUUUGGGAAUGUGAAAGAAUGCAGCCAACGUGCUUACCGUAUUCAAAUCUAUCAUACAUGUCAGCACAAACCUGGCCAGUGUUACUGGGAAGUGAUGUCAGCAGGUCCAUUAACCCAGAAAGGCGAUUUUAUGAAGCUCUUCACUGGGCCUGAAGCCCAGGAGCAUGGAUGCAGAUGAGUGAAAUGGUGGCAAGAUGGACAGAAUAAAGCCUAGCAUACAAAAAACA